UCGUAGUUGGAGUUCUGCCAGGUGACGCUCGUCCGCCCAAGUGGUGUGUACAGGGCGUGCAUCUGGCCCUUUCAAGGGGAACGUGUCGCACUUUAUUGUGUGGCGCGAGAUCCUUGACUUUUACUUUGAGGAAAUAAGAGUGUUCCAAGCAGGCUCUCGUCGUGCAUAGCUCAGCAUGGAAUAAUAGCAUUGGACUUCGUUUCUACGCUGUUGGUUGCAAGAAGCGAGGUAAUGAUGAAGAGGGAUAGUUGGGGGCAUUCGUAUUUAACUGUCAGAGGCGAAAUUCUUGGAUUUGUUAAAGACGGACUACUGCGAAAGCAUCUGCCAUGGAUGUUUUCAUUGAUCAAGAACGAAAGUUAGGGGAUCGAAGACGAGCAGAUACCGUCCUAGUCUUAACUAUAAACCAUGCCGGCUAGAGAUGAGAGGUCGUUCAAUUUGUGACACCUUUUGCAUCUUGAGAGAAAUCAAAGCCUUUGGGUUCCGGGGGGAGUAUGGUCGCAAGGCUGAAACUUAAAGGAAUUGACGGAAGGGCACCACCAGGAGUGGAGCCUGCGGCUUAAUUUGACUCAACACGGGGAAACUUACCAGGUCCGGACU
rnacentral:rRNA from 1 species